rnacentral:rRNA from 1 species
GCAUGGUUGUCGUCAGCUCGUGUCGUGAGAUGUUGGGUUAAGUCCCGCAACGAGCGCAACCCUCGUCCUAUGUUGCCAGCACGUUAUGGUGGGAACUCAUGGGAGACUGCCGGGGUCAACUCGGAGGAAGGUGGGGAUGACGUCAAAUCAUCAUGCCCCUUAUGUCUUGGGCUUCACGCAUGCUACAAUGGCCGGUACAAAGGGCUGCGAUACCGUAAGGUGGAGCGAAUCCCAUAAAGCCGGUCUCAGUUCGGAUUGAGGUCUGCAACUCGACCUCAUGAAGUCGGAGUCGCUAGUAAUCGUAGAUCAGCAACGCUACGGUGAAUACGUUCCCGGGCCUUGUACACACCGCCCGUCAAGUCACGAAGUCGGUAACACCCGAAGCCGGUGGCCUAACCGUAAGGAAGGAG